ACGGGUGAGUAACGCGUGAGGAACCUGCCUCAAAGAGGGGGACGAACAGUUGGAAACGAACUGCUAAUACCGCAUAAGCCCACGGGUCGGCAUCGACCAGAGGAAAGGAGCAAUCCGCUUUGAGAUGGUCUCGCGUCCGAUUAGCUAGUUGGUGAGGUAAUGGCCCACCAAGGCGACGAUCGGUAGCCGGACUGAGAGGUUGAACGGCCACAUUGGGACUGAGACACGGCCCAGACUCCUACGGGAGGCAGCAUG
rnacentral:rRNA from 1 species